GUGGCGUUGUGCUUCAGGAAACGAGGACUGGGUACAGAGAACGGGGCGGGGAGCAGGGUUGCAGGGUAAGCAAAGGCAUCUUGUGGCUGUUUCUGUGCGGGCUUACGUCGGACAGUCGCCGCAAGCCAGCCGAGACGCGAGACCUUGCGGUAAAACGGCCACAGCUGCUGCCUCUGCAGCAAGCCGCGCGAUCCCACGGAGUAAGACGAACGCCUGCGACCGUGGACGCUACUAGCGCCAUUAAGGUUUCCAGUCCGUGCUGGUGACCUAUGUAUAGUGUGUCGUAGACGCCAGGGUAGAUGCUGCUGCGUUCUGGAGCGCCCAUGCCGUGCUGGCAACCUAUAAAUCGCAUUUCGUGGACGCCGAGGUAGAUGCUGCUGCGUUCCUCUGCCAGCCUUUUUUCGAACAAAGCAGCGACUGCAUGAAGCGCUUCACGGUCUCAAAACCGCUUCAAGUAGCAGCCUUGGAAGCGACCGACUUGUCUUCUUGUUUUCCAGCGCAUCAAGACAUACACGUGCACGAAGGACAAGCCAGGAACGCACCGUAGCCCCAUGGUACUGGCAGCCUCGUAAUCAAGCCGCUCCCGCAUGCAACCAGAGCGCGCUGCAAGUGAUGAAAGCUUUACGAUACUCAGCUCACCCCGAGUAUUGCAUACAGUGAAGACCGUAUGUGACAAGCAUAUGUCUGAUGCAGGUGCGCGAAUAGUUGUUCAGGGCUGAGCCACUCCAACCAUGUAAGCGACAUAGAGUCUAUGACCCUUGUCCGGACAGCGCGUCUCCGUAUGCAUCUGUUACGAUGAUGCUCAUGACGUACUGCCAUCAGUCCAGGUUCCUGGUUGGACCGCAGCCGGCACCGUGCCGCCUGUGCGCUGCUGGACUCGUCUGAGCCCUUGCUAGAAUGAUCGGUUCAACGUUCGUGGCGGGCGCUUGCAUGCCGUAUGCCUCUCUCAAAAAAGAGACCCGCCUGGAGAACCCGGGGGCGCCUCCAUUUGGUCAGCUCGAAGGGUCGAUACGCCUAAACUGGCUCAUUUGGAUACACGAACGCCGUCGUUCCCUGGUACCGCGAUUCUCAUCACUUGUUCCGCCGACGCCUGGCGACGCCGAAGAUCCGAACGAGUGGAGCGCACCCGCGCUCCACCAGCGAAAUUCCUCAAGUGUCACGAGAAGCCUACAAAACAAGCUCGACGUCUGGUAGUCGCCUCGUGUCGUCGGAAUGAGCUCCAACAGCGGAAUCCCGCGACUAUCGCGAGGAUCUUCCGCUUCAGGCUCGCCAUCGAGCCAUAGACCCCUGUCAUUGCAUCCAGCAAGCCUCUAUCGCCGACUGGAUGAUAAUGCGCGGGCUCAUGGAAAGCGGAAGCGUCCAGAGCGGCAUCAUGGUCGCUUGACCGGCCACCGACAGAUAUCACGCGCAUCCUAGGGGUCCUCGCUGGAUUCAUAGAUCGUGCCGCAUAAGGAGCGGUAUUCCCGGUAUGCUCGAUUCCGAGACGCUCCUCUGAACGUGAAACAUUCACAGGCGUGUGUCGCACCGGGUGACAGCGUUUCUUUACGGGGAAAGCGGGAUUCGACUCGGUUCACUGAACCACGCUAAGCGUUACAGGGCGGCGCUCUCCAGAAUGCAAUCGGUUGCUCUUUCCAGAAACGCCUAUCUCCAAUAUCCGUAACGACGACACGCAGCAUAUAAUGGACAGAGAAGAGACCACAAACAUCUUCAUAGGUUGGUGUAAGGUCAUCGAAUUGUCUCAAGAAGAUGCGGAUCGGUAGCUUGCAGGCUGGUUUCGGUGAGCCAGCGAGUACCUGAAAACUCCCCACGAGCACAGAUUGCAUCGGCAACGAGAAACCGCUUUCCUGCCGCCGUAUCUCGAUAUCCGCUCGGCGAAUGGCGAUAUGGUUGUCUAGGAAAGUGAGUGAGCCAACGAUGACGUCCUCAAUGGAAUACGCUCGGCGAUCUAACUGUAGCUCCAGGUUCAGAAUAUCUUCGAGACCCGCGUUGAAGUGAAUGGCGGGGAAGAACCUGGGGGCUCGCUGCGAUAAUCGAACUACAACUUCCACACCAGUACUCCGUGAAGAUAGACCGGAAUAUCCGUGAAAACUCAACACCACUCGAUAUACGCAGCGAACUCGUGUGCUCUCGUAGGUGUCGUGGACGAGUUCUGCGCACCGGAAAGCGAACGGCAAAGAAACGGCCGCGUGAGGCUCCAGCUUCACGGACUCCGGUUUAAAGC